CGGACGGGUGAGUAAUGCCUAGGAAUCUGCCUGGUAGUGGGGGACAACGUUUCGAAAGGAACGCUAAUACCGCAUACGUCCUACGGGAGAAAGCAGGGGACCUUCGGGCCUUGCGCUAUCAGAUGAGCCUAGGUCGGAUUAGCUAGUUGGUGAGGUAAUGGCUCACCAAGGCGACGAUCCGUAACUGGUCUGAGAGGAUGAUCAGUCACACUGGAACUGAGACACGGUCCANACUCCUACGGGAGGCAGCAGUC
rnacentral:rRNA from 1 species